rnacentral:sRNA from 1 species
GAAAGCCCGCAAGGGUGAGUACAGCGGCGCACGGGUGCGUAACACGUGGGUAAUCUACCUCGAAGUCUGGAAUAACUCCCCGAAAGGGGUGCUAAUGCCGGAUGGGACCACGGGAGCUGCGGCUCCCGAGGGAAAAGAUGGCCUCUGCAUGCAAGCUAUCGCUUCGAGAUGAGCCCGCGGCCCAUCAGCUCGUUGGCGGGGUAAUGGCCCACCAAGGCUAUGACGGGUAGCUGGUCUGAGAGGACGAUCAGCCACACUGGAUCUGAGACACGGUGAAGACUCCUACGGGAUUCCGCAGUGGGAAUUUCUAGAAAUCUCCUACAAAUCUCAG